UACGUAGGGUGCAAGCGUUGCCCGGAUUUAUUGGGCGUAAAGGGCGCGUAGGCGGCUCGGCACGUCCGUUGUGAAAUCGCCCGGCUCAACUGGGCGGGGUCGGCGGAUACGGCCGAGCUGGAGCAAGCUAGGGGGUAAUGGAAUUCCCGGUGUAGUGGUGGAAUGUCGUAGAUAUCGGGAGGAACACCAGUGGCGAAGGCGGUUACCUGGAGCUUUGCUGACGCUGAUGCGCGAAAGCGUGGGGAGCGAGUCCGG
rnacentral:rRNA from 1 species